GUGGGGAAUAUUGGACAAUGGGCGAAAGCCUGAUCCAGCCAUGCCGCGUGUGUGAAGAAGGUCUUCGGAUUGUAAAGCACUUUCAGUUGGGAGGAAGGGCAGUAAGUUAAUACCUUGCUGUUUUGACGUUACCGACAGAAUAAGCACCGGCUAACUUCGUGCCAGCAGCCGCGGUAAUACGAAGGGUGCAAGCGUUAAUCGGAAUUACUGGGCGUAAAGCGCGCGUAGGUGGUUUUGUAAGUUGGAGGUGAAAUCCCCGGGCUCAACCUGGGAACUGCCUCCAAAACUGCAUGACUAGAGUACGGUAGAGGGUAGUGGAAUUUCCUGUGUAGCGGUGAAAUGCGUAGAUAUAGGAAGGAACACCAGUGGCGAAGGCGACUACCUGGACUGAUACUGACACUGAGGUGCGAAAGCGUGGGGAGCAAACAGGAUUAGAAACCCUUGUAGUCC
rnacentral:rRNA from 1 species